GAACGCUGGCGGCGUGCCUAACACAUGCAAGUCGAGCGAUGCGAUUCUUCGGAAUCAAUUAGCGGCGGACGGGUGAGUAACACGUGGGUAACCUGCCUCAAAGAGGGGAAUAGCCUCCCGAAAGGGAGAUUAAUACCGCAUAAUAUGUUUUGAUCGCAUGAUCUUAACAUCAAAGGAAAUUCUUCGGAAAUUCCACUUUGAGAUGGACCCGCGGCGCAUUAGCUAGUUGGUGAGGUAAAGGCCCACCAAGGCAACGAUGCGUAGCCGACCUGAGAGGGUGAUCGGCCACAUUGGAACUGAGACACGGUCCAGACUCCUACGGGAGGCAGCAGUGGGGAAUAUUGCGCAAUGGGGGAAACCCUGACGCAGCAACGCCGCGUGAAUGAUGAAGGCCUUCGGGUUGUAAAGUUCUGUCUUCUGGGACGAUAAUGACGGUACCAGAGGAGGAAGCCACGGCUAACUACGUGCCAGCAGCCGCGGUAAUACGUAGGUGGCAAGCGUUGUCCGGAUUUACUGGGCGUAAAGGAUGCGUAGGCGGACAUUUAAGUCAGAUGUGAAAUACCCGAGCUUAACUUGGGUGCUGCAUUUGAAACUGGGUGUCUAGAGUGCAGGAGAGGUAAGUGGAAUUCCUAGUGUAGCGGUGAAAUGCGUAGAGAUUAGGAAGAACACCAGUGGCGAAGGCGACUUACUGGACUGUAACUGACGCUGAGGCAUGA
rnacentral:rRNA from 1 species